UUUCUUUUCCCAUUUGCCCAUGAUUAUGAAUUAAAUGGUUCUGAACCUGUGGAAAUAGUUGUUAGUUGUAAUAACAAGAAAUUUAGUUCACUACUUGUGAAACGUUUAAUUAUUCGAAUGUAUCAGCAGAAUUUUUUGGAAACAUCAUCUAUUCGAAUAGCCGCGUCCGUGGUAAAGGACCACUUGGUUGCCUAUACAGUUCAUAGACAAGUAAAUGGAUACUCAUAA
rnacentral:rRNA from 1 species